UCCAUGUUUAUUAUUGGCACGUUAGGGUUAACAAACAAAUUUAAAAAAGUUGUCAGGGGCAACAAUAACAACAAUUACAAUGUAAAAACAUGCGAGAAAAUAAUCAAGUUUUAUCACAUUGGCUGAUAACAAUCUUUUGAUAAAUAAAAGUUUACCUAAGAAAUUCGACAAAAAUGUCUUAAAACAAAAAAAGUGAAAUAACAUCCCCCCAAACAAUCGAAAUCAAAAAAGUGAAUUGACAUCCCCCCAAACAAUCAAAACCAAAAAAUAGAUCAUGAGUUUAUGUAGUACAGCAUUCAGAAUAUGUUGAGAUGUACCCCCAAAAUUGUUUUUGUUGAUUCAGAUAACUGCUUUAAUAUAUGUAUAUAUGGAAAGUACUUUUAAUUAACAAAUAUAAAAGAUAGCUUAGAAAAUUAAACAUAUUUACUCAAAUUCUUUAAAGGCAAAUUAUUACUUGUCAUCAAUUUCUAACAGAUCAAAUAAAUUUUUUAGGAUGUUUUGAGAAUUCCAAUAAUUAACUUUAUCCAUGUAAAGGGGAAUAACUCAAUUUUUAACUGCAUAUUUUAAUAUUUCCCCCAUCGUUUAUGAAUUCAGUUCCAAUUAGUAUUUUUACCUUAUUCCUUCAUACUAAAUGUUAAGAUUUUCAAAAAAGUUAAUCAAUUGAUUUUGUUUACACUACUGAAGUAAAUUGGGGUGAUUUCCCU
rnacentral:lncRNA from 1 species